CAAAGGAGCCCCGCGACUCCCAACUCAGCCACGGAGCCGCUGGAGUCGGCGCAACCCCCAACUCAGCCACGGAACCACCGAGCAAGGCUCGCUGUCAUUUCAGAUUCGUUGUGCGCCAAGCUCUUGCCAUUCCUAGGCAUGCAAUCCCGGAAAGCCAAGCACACAAAUUAAUUGGGGAGAAAGGCGGCUUUUCUGGACCACUUCCUUCAUAAGAGGAAAUUCACCUCCACGUGAGCCUUGGGGAAUGCUUGUAAAGAUUAUCACAGAAGGGUUACUCGGCGGCCGUUAUGACCUCCCGGUUACGUGCGUUGGGUGGAAGAAUUAAUAAUAUACGGACCUCAGAAUUGCCCAAAGAGAAAACUCGAUCCGAGGUCACCUGCAGCAUACGCUUUUUAGAU
rnacentral:lncRNA from 1 species